rnacentral:rRNA from 1 species
GACGAACGCUGGCGGCGUGCUUAACACAUGCAAGUCGAACGGAAAGGCCCUGCUUUUGUGGGGUGCUCGAGUGGCGAACGGGUGAGUAACACGUGAGUAACCUGCCCUUGACUUUGGGAUAACUUCAGGAAACUGGGGCUAAUACCGGAUAGGAGCUCCUGCUGCAUGGUGGGGGUUGGAAAGUUUCGGCGGUUGGGGAUGGACUCGCGGCUUAUCAGCUUGUUGGUGGGGUAGUGGCUUACCAAGGCUUUGACGGGUAGCCGGCCUGAGAGGGUGACCGGCCCCAUUGGGGCGGGGGUUCCGCCCCGACCCCUCCGGGAGGCAGCAGUGGGGAAUAUUGCACAAUGGGCGGAAGCCUGAUGCAGCAACGCCGCGUGCGGGAUGACGGCCUUCGGGUUGUAAACCGCUUUCGCCUGUGACGAAGCGUGAGUGACGGUAAUGGGUAAAGAAGCACCGGCUAACUACGUG